CGCGGGGUGGAGCAGCCCGGUAGCUCGUCAGGCUCAUAACCUGAAGGUCACAGGUUCAAAUCCUGUCCCCGCUACCA
rnacentral:tRNA from 4 species